UGUAUGGUUAAGUGACUAAGCGUACACGGUGGAUGCCUGGGCAGUCAGAGGCGAUGAAGGACGUACUAACUUGCGAUAAGCGCAGAUAAGGCAGUAAGAGCCGUUUGAGUCUGCGAUUUCCGAAUGGGGAAACCCAACUGCAUAAGCAGUUACUGUUAACUGAAUACAUAGGUUAACAGAGCAAACCGGGGGAACUGAAACAUCUAAGUACCCCGAGGAGAAGAAAUCAACCGAGAUUCCGGUAGUAGCGGCGAGCGAACCUGGAUUAGCCCUUAAGCACUCGGUGAAGUAGGUGAACAAGCUGGAAAGCUUGGCGAUACAGGGUGAUAGCCCCGUAACCGACGCUUCAUCGAGCGUGAAAUCGAGUAGGGCGGGACACGUGAUAUCCUGUCUGAAUAUGGGGGGACCA
rnacentral:rRNA from 1 species